rnacentral:misc_RNA from 1 species
AGUCAGAGGCAGUUCUUCAAGCUUGUUAAUGAAAAUCUUGCUUGGAUUUUCAGUUCCAGUACUAUAUUCAACAUCUGAUGCUUUUCCAGGAGAUCGUAGAGCAGUGAUCAGCCAGCCAGAACUUAUCAUUUGGGCAAUCUCCUCGUCUUUGUAACUGGAAACGACAUGCAUAUAACUUCCAGUAAUGUCGCCCCAUUCCAAAGAAACCUCACUUAUAAAGCUGUCUAUGGCUGAUGGCCUGAAGACAAAACAAUUGUAGGAAUAUAGUCUUGCGCUUUCUUGGAGGAGGCGCACCUUAGGAGCAGAAAGAUCCGGUCCAUAGGAUAUACCAGUGAAGAUGUUGGAGUAUCGAAGCUUGCGAAGAACAUAAUCAGCAUCAGGUCUAAGAGAGGGACUCCCAUUUUCAUCAUCACCGGAUUUCAACAGAAUUGAAGCGUCUAGCACAAUACCCUUCACUCCAUACAUUGUUCUUUCUGUGUUU